ACCUGAGUGGGUAAGAGUAGCUGUGGAGGAUGAAGCUCGUGUGUGACCCAAAAACCGCUCAUACUCAUCUUUCGAUGUACUAAUCAUACCUAAGUUGGAGUUAGUUGACUGUGAUGUAGUAUCUUGGCAAAUGGCCAGAUUAGCAGACCCAGAUGGUCUACCAUGUAGAUCCCAACAAUAGUCCACCGAAUGGUUAGUGCGACCACAACGGGUGCACUUAUGAGGCUCUCAACCUCGAGUGCGAUUACCUUUGGCAUCACGAGCAACAUAAGAGGUAACCGCAUCAUAUAACUGUGACUUAAAUUUAGUUGUCAUAUCUGAGAAACUCCACACAAUAUCACAACUGAACUUGGGGAUUGAAACUCCGCACAAUAUCUGAGAAAAAUCACAAUUCAACUUAAAAAAUU